rnacentral:rRNA from 1 species
AACGAACGCUGGCGGCAGGCCUAACACAUGCAAGUCGAGGGAGAAACUAUCUUCGGAUAGCGGAGACCGGCAGACGGGUGAGUAACACGUGGGAACAUACCAAGUACUGGGGGAUAACAGUUGGAAACGACUGCUAAUACCGCAUACGCCCUUCGGGGGAAAGAUUUAUCGGUAUUUGAUUGGCCCGCGUUAGAUUAGCUAGUUGGUAAGGUAACGGCUUACCAAGGCGACGAUCUAUAGCUGGUUUGAGAGGAUGAUCAGCCACACUGGGACUGAGACACGGCCCAGACUCCUACGGGAGGCAGCAGUGGGGAAUAUUGCGCAAUGGAGGAAACUCUGACGCAGCCAUGCCGCGUGAGUGAAGAAGGCCCUAGGGUUGUAAAACUCUUUCAGACGCGAUGAUGAUGACAGUAACGUCAAAAGAAGUUCCGGCUAACUUCG